rnacentral:rRNA from 1 species
CGCGGCCUAUCAGCUUGUUGGUGAGGUAACGGCUCACCAAGGCGAUGACGGGUAGCUGGCGUGAGAGCGCGACCAGCCACACUGGGACUGAGACACGGCCCAGACUCCUACGGGAGGCAGCAGUUAGGAAUAUUCCACAAUGGGGGCAACCCUGAUGGAGCGACGCUGCGUGAAGGAUGAAGCCUUUCGGGGUGUAAACUUCUUUUCUUGGGGAACAAGUUCUGAGUUAACCCAAGGAAUAAGUGGCAGCUAAUCACGUGCCAGCAGCUGCGGUAAUACGUGAGCCACAAACGCUAACCGGAAUUAUUGGGCGUAAAGGGUCCGUAGGGGGAUGAGUAAGUAGUAUGUAACAGGCAUAGGCUCAACUUAUGUUUUGCGUACUAAACUGCUCGUCUAGAGGAUGCUAGGGGCUGGCGGAAUUUCCGGAGUAGGGGUAAUAUCCGUAGAUACCGGAAGGAACACCAAUAGCGAAGGCAGCCAGCUGGAGCAUUCCUGACCCUCAGGGACGAAAGCGUGGGUAGCGAACAGGAUUAGAUACCCUGGUAGUCCACGCCGUAAACGAUGGAUACUAGGCGUGUGCGACAUCGACCUCGUGCGUGCCGAAGCUAACGCGUUAAGUAUCCCGCCUGGGGAGUACGGA